GCCAACUGGUAGAGCAGCGGGCUUUUAAUCCGUUGGUCGCGGGUUCAAUUCCCUC
rnacentral:tRNA from 1 species